CUGAGAGGUUGAUCGGCCACAUUGGGACUGAGACACGGCCCAAACUCCUACGGGAGGUAGCAGUAGGGAAUCUUCCACAAUGGACGAAAGCCUGAUGGAGCAACGCCGCGUGAAUGAAGAAGGCCUUCGGGUCGUAAAAUUCUGUUGUCAGAGAAGAACGUGCGUGAGAGUAACUGUUCACGUAUUGACGGUAUCUGACCAGAAAGCCACGGCUAACUACGUGCCAGCAGCCGCGGUAAUACGUAGGUGGCGAGCGUUGUCCGGAUUUAUUGGGCGUAAAGGGAACGCAGGCGGUCUUUUAAGUCUGAUGUGAAAGCCUUCGGCUUAACCGAAGUAGUGCACUGGAAACUGGAAGACUUGAGUGCAGAAGAGGAGAGUGGAACUCCAUGUGUAGCGGUGAAAUGCGUAGAUAUAUGGAAGAACACCAGUGGCGAAAGCGGCUCUCUGGUCUGUAACUGACGCUGAGGUUCGAAAGCGUGGGUAGCAAACAGGAUUAGAUACCCUGGUAGUCCACGCCGUAAACGAUGAGUGCUAAGUGUUGGAGGGUUUCCGCCCUUCAGUGCUGCAGCUAACGCAUUAAGCACUCCGCCUGGGGAGUACGGUCGCAAGACUGAAACUCAAAGGAAUUGACGGGGGCCCGCACAAGCGGUGGAGCAUGUGGUUUAAUUCGAAGCAACGCGAAGAACCUUACCAGGUCUUGACAUCUUCUGACAAUUCCAGAGAUGGAACGUUCCCUUCGGGGACAGAAUGACAGGUGCUGCAUGGUUGUCGUCAGCUCGUGUCGUGAGAUGUUGGGUUAAGUCCCGCAACGAGCGCAACCCUUAUUGUCAGUUGCCAUCAUUAAGUUGGGCACUCUGGCGAGACUGCCGGUGACAAACCGGAGGAAGGUGGGGAUGACGUCAAAUCAUCAUGCCCCUUAUGACCUGGGCUACACACGUGCUACAAUGGACGGUACAACGAGUCGCUAACUCGCGAGGGCAAGCUAAUCUCUUAAGGCCGUUCUCAGUUCGGAUUGCAGGCUGCAACUCGCCUGCAUGAAGUCGGAAUCGCUAGUAAUCGCGAAUCAGCAUGUCGCGGUGAAUACGUUCCCGGGCCUUGUACACACCGCCCGUCACACCAUGAGAGUUUGUAACACCCAAAGUCGGUGGGGUAACCUUUUGGAGCCAGCCGCCUAAGGUGGGACAGAUGAUUGGGGUGAAGUCGUAACAAGGUA
rnacentral:rRNA from 1 species